rnacentral:rRNA from 1 species
CACGUAGGGCGCAAGCGUUGUCCGGAAUUAUUGGGCGUAAAGAGCUCGUAGGCGGUCUGUUGCGUCCGCUGUGAAAACUCGGGGCUUAACCCCGAGCCUGCAGUGGAUACGGGCAGACUAGAGGUAGGUAGGGGAGAAUGGAAUCCGGUGUAGCGGUGAAAUGCGCAGAUAUCGGGAGGAACACCGGUGGCGAAGGCGGUUCUCUGGGCC